AGACACAAUGUGAUUUAUUCCCAUUGUUAUGCAUGUCAAAGUGAAGAAAUUCAACCAAGAGCACGUAAACAAUGGGAGUAACUAUGACUCCUCUAAUUAAUGAUCAACAUGAACGGAUCAUUAACGAUAUUCCUUAGUCCCUAGCUACUAUAUUCUAGAGAAACCACAUCCAAGGGAAUGGGCUUGACAAAAUUAGCAGGGAAAGAAGACCCUGUUGAGAUUGACUCCAGGCCUAACCCAUUCAUAGUUUGGGAAAAUUAGGGCAUAGU
rfam:Picea glauca, whole genome shotgun sequence.